rnacentral:rRNA from 1 species
UACGAAGGGGGCGAGCGUUGUUCGGAUUUACUGGGCGUAAAGGGCGCGCAGGCGGCGCGGUAAGUCGGGUGUGAAAUCUUGGAGCUUAACUCCGAAACUGCAUUCGAUACUGCCGUGCUUGAGGACUGGAGAGGAGACUGGAAUUUACGGUGUAGCGGUGAAAUGCGUAGAUAUCGUAAGGAAGACCAGUGGCGAAGGCGGGUCUCUGGACAGUUCCUGACGCUGAGGCACGAAGGCCAGGGGAGCAAACGGG